GGCAGAGAAGGUUGUCGUGUGUGAAGUAGCUGCAGUACUGGCUCAAUGCUGUCCACCUCCAUCCAAGACAAGUUCUCUCACCUGCAACAAACUGAGUCUCAGAGAGAGUGGACGAGUCGAGUGCCUACUACCAGGAGCAAGUGAGACAGGCCAAGCAGAUCAUGAUACCCUUCACACUGCGGAGGCUCAGGUCACAAGUACUGAUUCAGCUCCCGGCCAAGGUGUCCAGUACGGAGCAUUGUCAGCUGACGGAGACUCAGUGGACGUUGUACAGGGGCGUGGUGGAGAGGUCACUCGGGGUCAAUCUGUUCAUUAUAGUAUUUUCACCCCAUACUGAGCACCCCCUCUCCACUACAGGUGAUGAGCUCAACAAGAGGAUGGACGUGAUGGUAGACCUUACAAUACCACGGAAUACUUACAUUGUGGUGGUCGUUCCUUAGCAACAAAAUGGUUUUGUUUUCAAUGGCUUAGUUUUCAAUGUGUAUCUGUGUACCGUAUUACUACAAUGUUUUGCAAGCAUCAAACAUAAACGAAUUUUGUGAGUGUUGGUAUAUGAUAAAAUCGCAAAUGCCUUUACUGGUGCUAGUAUGACAUACGAUCCCUGCCAGAACACCUUCCUACAUGUUCAUACUCUCUCAUUCAUUUUGUAUGCCCCCUCCAUACAUGCAUGCAGGGAUGUGACGGUCCUGAGGCUGGUGGGUGGUGGGACAGUGGAAGAGGACAUCCUCCAGUUCUAGUCUGCACAGAGCAAGCUGCGACUGGAGCACGACCUCACAGCCUCCACUGACCACGAUGAUAAAUUGGACGUGACUGGUCUCCUACAGAAGGCUCUAGCAAGAUCUCAAACUAUGAACCUCCCAACCUAACGUUGACUAUUGAGUUUAGUUCUCAUUAAAAAAUUCCUUGAACUCCCUCAACAUCAUUCAGAUCAGUAUGUUUUAUUGUCAGUGAAUGCAGUGAUUUUUGUAAAAGAAAUACUACACUUUCGUUUUUGUGAGUAUCUGACAAUUUGCUAGUGACACACACUAAAGCUAGAUAGGUGAAUCGCUCACUGGGAUAUUCAUUAAUCGAAACACAUAAUCAGAAA